UACGAGGGGGGGCUAGCGUUGUUCGGAAUUACUGGGCGUAAAGCGCGCGCAGGCGGUCUUCCAAGUCAGUGGUGAAAGCCCGGAGCUCAACUCCGGAACUGCCAUUGAAACUGUUGGACUUGAGUACGAGAGAGGUGAGUGGAAUUCCCAGUGUAGAGGUGAAAUUCGUAGAUAUUGGGAAGAACACCGGUGGCGAAGGCGGCUCACUGGCUCGUAACUGACGCUCAGGCGCGACAGCGUGGGGAUCAAACAGG
rnacentral:rRNA from 1 species